GACGGACCACCCAAACGUUAUUCGGAAUCACUGGGCUUAAAGGGUGCGUAGGCGGUGUAGUAAGUCGGGUGUGAAAUCCCCCAGCUUAACUGAGGAAUUGCGCCCGAAACUGCUGCGCUCGAGGGAGACAGAGGUGAGCGGAACUGAUGGUGGAGCGGUGAAAUGCGUUGAUAUCUACAGGAACUCCGGUGGCGAAAGCGGCGCGCUGGACCUCUUCUGACGCUGAGGCGCGAAAGCUAGGGGAGCAAACGGG
rnacentral:rRNA from 1 species